UACGAAGGGGGCGAGCGUUGUUCGGAAUUACUGGGCGUAAAGGGCGCGUAGGCGGUCAGUGCAAGUCAGUUGUGAAAUCUCCGGGCUUAACUCGGAAAGGUCAACUGAUACUGCUCGACUAGAGUGCGGAAGGGGCAACUGGAAUUCUUGGUGUAGCGGUGGAAUGCGCAGAUAUCGAGAGGAACACCGGUGGCGAAGGCGGCCAACUGGACGAGUACUGACGCUGAGACACGAAAGCGUGGGGAGCAAACAGG
rnacentral:rRNA from 1 species